UGUUGACUAUUUUGCAGGUAGCAUAUUCCACCCCUGUUCCUGCACUAGAAACCUUAGCAGAAAAAACUGUUACCUACAAAUUACAUUUGGUAACUUUGCCCUCCUAACACAAGCAUGAGAUAUGGUUUCCUUAUAAUUGUUUUGUAAACAUUUCUUGCUGUUCUGACUAAAGAUUGUUUCUUCUUUUACCAAUCGGGCUGUUUUGGACUGGCUGGUCACUCUCAGGCAAAGGUAACUUGAGACCUCUUCUUUAUUCUAUUCCAUUUGUUCACUAAUCAAAAUCUCUCAUCAGUUUCACGGGCACGAAACAGAAAAAGCAAGUAAGGUUCUAAUAAGUACCUUCCUGUUAGUUUGUAAGGGGAAGUUGUUUCAGAAAUUGAUGUAUAUAUGCUAGCAAUUAAAUUUACCUUAUUCCUAAAACGAAAUAUAGACAUUGGUAUAACAGGAGGCUGGGAGACCUCGAGCGUAAUAUACGCUACCAUCGGAGAGACUUUAGCCACAUCUUAAUCUGAAUGAGGUGAUCAAGAAAGUCCUCCCCUGGAAAAAAAAAUAUACAUCAAUUACCUGUGCCCGGUCUAUGGUCUAGUGGUAAGAGCACAUCACGUUAUGUGUGGUUAGGCAUAUGUCAUGUGUUUGAACACUGCCGGAAACAAAAGUUUUGUAUUUAAAUAGAGCAGAGUAGAGAGGCAGGCCCAUUAUCUAGCGAGUUUCAAAUUGUGUGUCACAAUCUCAAAGAUUUCUCGGUUAAUAUUUUGUUUGCCAAGUUGAUGUGAAAAUCUCUUUUUAAUGGUAGUUGUUUUCUUUGUGCAGAAGUUGCUUGCACAGUAUGGAUCCCAUUUUUCUUUAGGUCUCAUCGUCUAUUUGUUCGUGCGAAUUAUAUUUAGUCCAUCAGCUAAAUCAAGUGCUGGAAACGCAAAGAAAAGACACUGAUCGUUCAUCAGCUGUAGCAAACUUCUCUUUUGUAGAGGCAAG
rnacentral:lncRNA from 1 species